UCUCCUGGAAACGGGUGGUAAUGCCGGAUGCUCCAGUUGAUCGCAUGGUCUUCUGGGAAAGCUUUCGCGGUAUGGGAUGGGGUCGCGUCCUAUCAGCUUGACGGCGGGGUAACGGCCCACCGUGGCUUCGACGGGUAGCCGGCCUGAGAGGGCGACCGGCCACAUUGGGACUGAGAUACGGCCCAGACUCCUACGGGAGGCAGCAGUGGGGAAUAUUGCACAAUGGGCGCAAGCCUGAUGCAGCGACGCCGCGUGAGGGAUGGAGGCCUUCGGGUUGUAAACCUCUUUUAUCGGGGAGCAAGCGAGAGUGAGUUUACCCGUUGAAUAAGCACCGGCUAACUACGUGCCAGCAGCCGCGGUAAUACGUAGGGUGCAAGCGUUAUCCGGAAUUAUUGGGCGUAAAGGGCUCGUAGGCGGUUCGUCGCGUCCGGUGUGAAAGUCCAUCGCUUAACGGUGGAUCCGCGCCGGGUACGGGCGGGCUUGAGUGCGGUAGGGGAGACUGGAAUUCCCGGUGUAACGGUGGAAUGUGUAGAUAUCGGGAAGAACACCAC
rnacentral:rRNA from 1 species